GUCGAAGUGGCGGAAUUGGUAGACGCGUACGAUUCAGGUUCGUAUGGUGGCAACACCUUGAGGGUUCAAGUCCCUUCUUCGAUA
rnacentral:tRNA from 3 species